rnacentral:rRNA from 1 species
GAUCGGCCCGCGUUAGAUUAGUUAGUUGGUGGGGUAAUGGCCUACCAAGGACUACGAUCUAUAGCUGGUUUGAGAGGAUGAUCAGCCACACAUGGGACUGGGACACGGCCCAGACUCCUACGGGGAGGCAGCAGGUGGGGAAUCUUAGACAAUGGGGGCAACCCUGAUCUAGCGAUGCCGCGUGAGUGAUGAAGGCCUUAGGGUCGUAAAGCUCUUUCGCCUGUGAUGAUAAUGACAGUAGCAGGUAAAGAAACCCCGGCUAACUCCGUGCCAGCAGCCGCGGUAAUACGGAGGGGGUUAGCCGUUGUUCGGGAAUUACUGGGCGUAAAGCGCACGUAGGCGGAUUAGUCAGUCAGAGGUGAAAUCCCAGGGCUCAACCCUGGAACUGCCUUUGAUACUGCUAGUCUUGAGUUCGAGAGAGGUAAGUGGAAUUCCGAGUGUAGAGGUGAAAUUCGGUAGAUAUUCGGAGGAACACCAGUGGCGAAGGCGGCUUACUGGCUCGAUACUGACGCUGAAGUGCGAAAGUGUGGGGAGCAAACAGGAUUAGAUACCCUGGU